rnacentral:tRNA from 1 species
UAGAGUAUAGCUAAAGUCAUAGCCUUUCCCUUACACUGAAAAAUUAUCCGUUCAACCCGGGUUACUCUAA